rnacentral:rRNA from 1 species
UACGUAGGGUGCAAGCGUUGUCCGGAAUUAUUGGGCGUAAAGAGCUCGUAGGCGGUCUGUCGCGUCUGCUGUGAAAACUCAGGGCUUAACCCUGAGCUUGCAGUGGGUACGGGCAGACUAGAGUGCGGUAGGGGAGACUGGAAUUCCUGGUGUAGCGGUGAAAUGCGUAGAUAUCGAGAGGAACACCUGCGGCGAAGGCGGCAUCCUGGACCGGCAUUGACGCUGAGGAGCGAAAGCCAGGGGAGCAAACGGG